GAACCAACCCUAGCCCUACCAAACCCCAAAUUCAAUUAUUAACAUCCAUAAAACAAACCAUUUGACAUAAAGAAAGUAUUAGAGAAAGAAAUCUACUUCAGGAGCUAUAGAGGAAGUACCGCAAGGGAAAGAUGAAAGAGUAAUUAAAAGUAAAAAUAAGCAAAGAUUAAACCUUGUACCUUUUGCAUAAUGAGUUAACUAGAAAACAUCUAACCAAGAGACCUUACGCUAGAUACCCCGAAACCAAACGAGCUACCUAAGAGCAGUUUUAAGGACCAACCCGUCUAUGUAGCAAAAUAGUGGGAAGACUCCUAGGUAGAGGUGAAAAGCCUAUCGAGCUUGGUGAUAGCUGGUUACCCGACAAAGAAUUUAAGUUCAACUUUAAGAUUACCUCAAGAAAUAACAAUCAAAAUGUAAUCUUAAAAUUUAAACUAAAGAGGGACAGCUCUUUAGUAAUGGAAACAACCUUUCAUAGUGAAUAAAUACACUAAUCUUAAAAAACAUUGUUGGCCUAAAAGCAGCCACCAAUAAAGAAAGCGUUAAAGCUCAACACUAUAGAUCGCUCAAUCCCAUAAGCCAUAAUGAGUUCCUAUAAAUACUAAUCGGGUUAAUCUAUAAUCAUAUAGAUGAGAUACUGUUAACAUGAGUAACAAGAACACUGUUCUCCAUGCACAAGCCUAUAACAACCCGGAUGACCAUUGUUAGUUAACAUCAACAGGCAAAGACUUCACCAAUAAGACCUGCCUAACCUAAAUGUUAAUCCAACACAGGUGUGCUACAAGGAAAGAUUAAAAGAAGUAAAAGGAACUCGGCAAACAAGAAUCCCGCCUGUUUACCAAAAACAUCGCCUCUAGCAUAAAAAGUAUUAGAGGCACUGCCUGCCCAGUGACAAGAGUUCAACGGCCGCGGUAUCCUGACCGUGCAAAGGUAGCAUAAUCACUUGUUCCUUAAUUGGGGACUGGAAUGAACGGCCUCACGAGGAUUCAACUGUCUCUUACUUCUAAUCAGUGAAAUUGACCUCCCCGUGAAGAGGCGGGGAUGAUAAAAUAAGACGAGAAGACCCUAUGGAGCUUUAAUUUACUAGUUUAACUACCCAACCACCACCCCUAAUGGAUCAAAAACAAAAGAAGUAAGCUAGUAAUUUUGGUUGGGGUGACCUCGGAGAACAAAGCAACCUCCGAAUGAUUUUAACCAAGACCUACAAGUCAAAGUAUUAGAAAUCCAAUUGACCCAAUUCAUUUGAUCAACGGACCAAGUUACCCUAGGGAUAACAGCGCAAUCCUAUUCAAGAGUCCAUAUCGACAAUUAGGGUUUACGACCUCGAUGUUGGAUCAGGACAUCCCAAUGGUGUAGCAGCUAUUAACGGUUCGUUUGUUCAACGAUUAAAGUCCUACGUGAUCUGAGUUCAGACCGGAGUAAUCCAGGUCGGUUUCUAUCUAUUAACUAUUUCUCCCAGUACGAAAGGACAAGAGAAAUGAGGCCUCCUUUAUCCAAGCGCCUUAAAACUAAUAUAUGAAAUCAUCUAAAUUUAGUAAGUUUGUUCAACAACACCCUAGACAAGGGGUU
rnacentral:rRNA from 1 species